GCCUGGGUGGCUCAGUCGGUUAAGCACCUGACUUUGGCUCAGGUCAUGAUCUCACUGCUUGUGGGUUUGAGCCUCGCGUCAGGUU
rfam:Felis catus isolate Cinnamon breed Abyssinian chromosome C1, whole genome shotgun sequence.